AUUGAACGCUGGCGGCAGGCCUAACACAUGCAAGUCGAGCGGAUGAAGGGAGCUUGCUCCUGGAUUCAGCGGCGGACGGGUGAGUAAUGCCUAGGAAUCUGCCUGGUAGUGGGGGAUAACGUCCGGAAACGGGCGCUAAUACCGCAUACGUCCUGAGGGAGAAAGUGGGGGAUCUUCGGACCUCACGCUAUCAGAUGAGCCUAGGUCGGAUUAGCUAGUUGGUGGGGUAAAGGCCUACCAAGGCGACGAUCCGUAACUGGUCUGAGAGGAUGAUCAGUCACACUGGAACUGAGACACGGUCCAGACUCCUACGGGAGGCAGCGGUUGGGAAUAUUGGACGAUGGGCGAAAGCCUGAUCCAGCCAUGCCGCGUGUGUGAAGAGGGUCUUCGGAUUGUAAAGCACUUUAAGUUGGGAGGAAGGGCAGUAAGUUAAUACCUUGCUGUUUUGACGUUACCAACAGAAUAAGCACCGGCUAACUUCGUG
rnacentral:rRNA from 1 species